rnacentral:rRNA from 1 species
CCAUCCCAGUUCGGAUUGCAGGCUGCAACCCGCCUGUAUGAAGUUGGAAUCGCUAGUAAUCGCGGAUCAGCAUGCCGCGGUGAAUACGUUCCCGGGCCUUGUACACACCGCCCGUCACACCAUGAGAGUCGGGAACACCCGAAGUCCGUAGCCUAACCGCAAGGAGGGCGCGGCCGAAGGUGGGUUCGAUAAUUGGGGUGAAGUCGUAACAAGGUACC